rnacentral:rRNA from 1 species
GGAAGUAAAAGUCGUAACAAGGUCUCCGUUGGUGAACCAGCGGAGGGAUCAUUACCGAGUUAUCCAACUCCCAACCCCUGUGAAUUAUACCUUUAAUUGUUGCUUCGGCGGGACUUCGCGCCCGCCGGGGACCUAAACCUUCUGAAUUUUUUAAUAAGUAUCUUCUGAGUGGUUAAAAAAAAUGAAUCAAAACUUUCAACAACGGAUCUCUUGGUUCUGGCAUCGAUGAAGAACGCAGCGAAAUGCGAUAAGUAAUGUGAAUUGCAGAAUUCAGUGAAUCAUCGAAUCUUUGAACGCACAUUGCGCCCGUCAGUAUUCUGGCGGGCAUGCCUGUUCGAGCGUCAUUACGCCCCUCAAGUCCCCUGUGGACUUGGUGUUGGGGAUCGGCGAGGCUGGUUUUCCAGCACAGCCGUCCCUUAAAUUGAUUGGCGGUCUCGCCGUGGCCCUCCUCUGCGCAGUAGUAAAACACUCGCAACAGGAGCCCGGCGCGGUCCACUGCCGUAAAACCCCCCAACUUUUUAUAGUUGACCUCGAAUCAGGUAGGACUACCCGCUGAACUUAAGCAUAUCAAUAAGCGGAGGA